AGAGUUUGAUCAUGGCUCAGAAUCAACGCUGGCGGCGCGCUUAACACAUGCAAGUCGAGCGAGAAAGGGGAGCAAUCCCUAAGUAAAGCGGCGUACGGGUGAGUAACACGUGGGUGAUCUACCUUUUAGUGGGGAAUAACCCUGGGAAACCGGGGCUAAUACCGCAUAAUCCUGUGAAGGGAAAGCAGCAAUGCGCUGAAAGAGGAGCCCGCGGCCGAUUAGCUAGUUGGUGAGGUAAUGGCUCACCAAGGCGAUGAUCGGUAGCCGGCCUGAGAGGGCACACGGCCACACUGGCACUGAAACACGGGCCAGACUCCUACGGGAGGCAGCAGUGGGGAAUCUUGCACAAUGGAGGCAACUCUGAUGCAGCGACGCCGCGUGAGCGAUGAAGCCCUUCGGGGUGUAAAGCUCUUUCGGCAGGGACGAUAAUGACGGUACCUGAAGAAGAAGCUGCGGCUAACUACGUGCCAGCAGCCGCGGUAAUACGUAGGCAGCAAGCGUUGUUCGGAAUUACUGGGCGUAAAGAGUGUGUAGGCGGUGCUCUAAGUUCGGUGUGAAAUCUCCUGGCUUAACUGGGAGGGUGCGCCGGAAACUGGAGUGCUCGAGCGUGGGAGAGGAAAGCGGAAUUCCUGGUGUAGCGGUGAAAUGCGUAGAUAUCAGGAGGAACACCUGUGGUGUAGACGGCUUUCUGGACCAUUGCUGACGCUGAGACACGAAAGCGUGGGUAGCAAACAGGAUUAGAUACCCUGGUAGUCC
rnacentral:rRNA from 1 species